rnacentral:lncRNA from 1 species
ACAGGAAGUAUCCAGGGACAUUAGAAGAUCCUGAAUUGAUAGGCCUGAGUCUCUUUGAGGGAUUUUGUGAGAGCUUUUGUAAGGGAUGAGAGUUGAGAGCUUCUAGUUGAAAAAGAGAUAUAUGAGAGUUGAGAGUGUGUAGUCUUUUCUUGUAAUUAUUUUCUUUCAUAGUGAAGCCUUUGCAUACCCCAUGGAGGUAGACAUUGGUCUAAUCCACGUAUUUGAUUGUGUCUCUUUUAUUUCUUCUUUCUUUCUAUCGUAACAAGUGGUACCAGAUCUCCAACAAUUGAUAUCAGAGUCUGAUGGUACCAGAGUACAGGUGGUGAUCAAGAUUGAAGAAGAUGAAGAAAUCAGGCUCAAUCAAGGAGGAGAUUAACAUAUAUGAUGGGAAGAGCAAUUUCACCCUAUGACAAAUGUGGGUGGAGGAUGUGCUCAUCCAACAGAGGUUGAUCGAUGCUCUCUUAUGUAAGGAGAAGCUGACUACCAUGGAGGUGAAAGAUUGAAAAUGACUCUAAAUGCAGGUGGUGAGUACGAUCCACUUGUACUUGAUGGAUGAUGUGGUGAUCUAUAUGCUUUGCGAGACUUCUCCGAUGGUGAUAUGGAUGAAGCUCGAGGAGAUGUCAUGGCAAAGUCACUCACCAUAUAUUCUUCCUCUGGAAGUAGUUCUACCAGCAUUAGAUGAGCAAGGGAUAGAGCAUGUAGGAGCAUCUUAGC